rnacentral:rRNA from 1 species
GUGAGGAAUUUUCCGCAAUGGGCGAAAGCCUGACGGAGCAAUGCCGCGUGAAGGAUGAAGGCCUAUGGGUUGUAAACUUCUUUUCUCAGAAAAGAAUUAUGACGGUAUCUGAGGAAUAAGCAUCGGCUAACUCUGUGCCAGCAGCCGCGGUAAGACAGAGGAUGCAAGCGUUAUCCGGAAUGAUUGGGCGUAAAGCGUCUGUAGGUUGUUUAAAAAGUAUUCUGUCAAAGAUUAGGGCUUAACCCUAGAUGGGCAGAAUAAACUUUUAAGCUAGAGUUUGGUAGAGGCAGAGGGAAUUCCCGGUGGAGCGGUGAAAUGCGUAGAUAUCGGGAGGAACACCAAAGGCGAAGGCACUCUGCUGGGCCAAUACUAACACUGAGAGACGAAAGCGAGGGGAGCAAAUGGGAUUAGAAACCCGGGUAGUCC